GAGGGAAAGACAUUCAAACUAAACCACAAAGAAUCUUUUAAAGGAGAAUGCAAACAAAUAGGAGCUUAUAGACUCAGUAAAAUUUCUCUAUAAACUGAAUGUCAGCUCUGAAAUGUGCCUUCACAUCAAUAAUGGCAUCCAGCAUGAAAGCUGUAAUAUAAUAGUUUGAUUGUUCCCUUUCCAGUCUUCCUUACAGUCCCCUCUAAAGCAAUUAUUCUGUUCAAAAGAGGAUUUGUUUGUGAUAUUCCUUUAAGAAUCUUUAUUUAUUCCCCCAACAGUUUCUUUUUCUGCAUCCGCUGCUCUGUUAAGUGAUCACCACAUUCAUUGUUCUCGUUUCUAUUAUUUCUGAAAAAAAUCUUCAGGAUUCUGCUUGUGGGAGUGGAUGACAUUUUUACAGUGUUUACAGAGUAAGCAGAUUGGACUGGGACAUGAUCUUCUCUUCAAGAGGGCAGAAGCACAAGGCCCAAUGUAUAAUUGCUAUUCAUAACUCUACUUAUGUGAUAUUUGUUACCUGGGUCCCUACAUUAGCCAAGGCAGAACACAUGGUCAAGCUGAGGUGCAGAGAAUUACACCUUGACUACACAAGAGUAUAAAUACAAGGAGGAGUGAAACUCCAGGGCCAUUACUGUUGCCAAUCUAACACAAAUAGGACACUCCAUUUUUUAAGAUUGUAAGUUCUGCAGGAAAAAUGCCUGAGUCAAUAUCCUGGCCCUACCAGGAGCUCUGUAACCUUGGAAAAAUUACUAAGCCUGGUUUCUCAUUUUAAUAAGGAAAGACAGCAAAACUAUACCUCAUAUCAUUAAUGAGUACACAUUUGUGAGCCCUAUAUCUAACACAAAAUAUGUACCAAAAA
rnacentral:lncRNA from 1 species